CCUACGGGAGGCAGCAGUGAGGAAUAUUGGUCAAUGGACGAGAGUCUGAACCAGCCAAGUCGCGUGAAGGAUGACUGCCCUAUGGGUUUUAAACUUCUUUUAUAUGGGAAUAAAACGUUCCACGUAUGUGAUUUUGUAUGUACCGUAUGAAUACGGCUCGGCUAACUCCGGGCCAGCAGCCGCGGUAAUACGGAGGAUCCGAGCGUUAGCCGGAUUGAUUGGGUUUAAAGUGAGCGUAGGUGGAUUGUUAAGUCAGUUGUGAAAGUUUGCGGCUCAACCGUAAAAUGGCAGUUGAAACUGGCAGUCUUGAGUACAGUUGAGGUAGGCGGAAUUCGUGGUGUAGCGGUGAAAUGCGUAGAUAUCACGAAGAACUCCGAUUGCGAAGGCAGCCUACUAAACUGUCACUGACACUGAUGCUCGAAAGUGUGGGUAUCAAACAGGAUUAGAUACCCCUGUAGUC
rnacentral:rRNA from 1 species